GGUCUCAUGGUGUAAUGGUUAUCACUCUGGACUCUGAAUCCAGCGAACCGAGUUCAAAUCUCGGUGGGACCU
rnacentral:tRNA from 1 species